ensembl:lncRNA
CCGGCACGCGUGCUCAUCUUCUCAGUUGUGUUGGACUCUGCAAUCCUGCUUACCAUAGCCCUCUGGUCUCCACUGCCUGUGGAAUUUUCCAGAGUGAUGUUUAAGCAUGACAAAAUGAAAGCAGAUUUUCUGGGAGCGGUAACCCUUCCGAUGGCCAAUAUUGCAAAAUUAGGUGAGCAAUAGGCUUAUCAGGUGGCACUAGUGGUAAAGAAUCCACCUGCCAGUUCAGGAGAAGCAAGAGGUGUGGAUUUAAUCCCUGGGCCAGGAGGAUCCCCUGGAGUAGAAAACGGCAGCCCAUUGCAGCAUCCUUGCCUGGAAAGUUCCACGGACAGUGGAACCUGGAAGACUACAUACAGCCCAUGGGGUCGCAAAGAGUUGGAGAUGACUGAACAUCCACAGGUAGGAUUGCCUCACUCUUCUCUUCGGAACCCUCUGAUGACUCUUCAUUCCACUCAGAAUAAAGAGUAUGCUGCCAUCACAGCCCGUGGAGCCCCCACAGCUCUCCCUCUGCCUCCUUUAUUCCAGCUGCACAGGCCUUCUUGACUUUCCUUAGAAAUGGGGCACACCUGUCCUCUCCCUCUCGCUUUGGGCCUGAGUACUUGUUUUCCCCUCCGCGUGAUUUUCCAGAGACUGGCUGGCUUUUCU